UGCAGCCGGUGGAAGAUGACGCGAAUGUCGGUCGCCGUCACCCAGUCCUGCAGGAUGACCGAGUUGUCAA
rnacentral:miRNA from 1 species